AUCUUAUUAUUAUAUUGAGUAUAUUUAAUUGCAAAUUAAAUGGUUAAUAAGAUU
rnacentral:tRNA from 1 species